rnacentral:rRNA from 1 species
GAUGAACGCUGGCGGCGUGCCUAAUACAUGCAAGUCGAGCGAACGGACGAGAAGCUUGCUUCUCUGAUGUUAGCGGCGGACGGGUGUGUAACACGUGGAUAACCUACCUAUAAGACUGGGAUAACUUCGGGAAACCGGAGCUAAUACCGGAUAAUAUUUUGAACCGCAUGGUUCAAAAGUGAAAGACGGUCUUGCUGUCACUUAUAGAUGGAUCCGCGCUGCAUUAGCUAGUUGGUAAGGUAACGGCUUACCAAGGCAACGAUGCAUAGCCGACCUGAGAGGGUGAUCGGCCACACUGGAACUGAGACACGGUCCAGACUCCUACGGGAGGCAGCAGUAGGGAAUCUUCCGCAAUGGGCGAAAGCCUGACGGAGCAACGCCGCGUGAGUGAUGAAGGUCUUCGGAUCGUAAAACUCUGUUAUUAGGGAAGAACAUAUGUGUAAGUAACUGUGCACAUCUUGACGGUACCUAAUCAGAAAGCCACGGCUAACUACGU